UAGGGAAUCUUCCGCAAUGGACGCAAGUCUGACGGAGCAACGCCGCGUGAGUGAAGAAGGAUUUCGGUUCGUAAAACUCUGUUGUUAGAGAAGAACAGCGCAUAGAGUAACUGUUAUGCGUGUGACGGUAUCUAACCAGAAAGCCACGGCUAACUACGUGCCAGCAGCCGCGGUAAUACGUAGGUGGCAAGCGUUGUCCGGAUUUAUUGGGCGUAAAGCGAGCGCAGGCGGUCAAUUAAGUCUGAUGUGAAAGCCCCCGGCUCAACCGGGGAGGGUCAUUGGAAACUGGUUGACUUGAGUGCAGAAGAGGAGAGUGAAAUUCCAUGUGUAGCGGUGAAAUGCGUAGAUAUAUGGAGGAACACCAGUGGCGAAGGCGACUCUCUGGUCUGUAACUGACGCAGAGGCUCGAAAGCGUGGGUAGCAAACAGG
rnacentral:rRNA from 1 species